rnacentral:rRNA from 1 species
UAUUAUGAGAGUUUGAUCCUGGCUCAGGACGAACGCUGGCGGCGUGCCUAAUACAUGCAAGUCGUACGCUUUUUCUUUCACCGGAGCUUGCUCCACCGAAAGAAAAGGAGUGGCGAACGGGUGAGUAACACGUGGGUAACCUGCCCAUCAGAAGGGGAUAACACUUGGAAACAGGUGCUAAUACCGUAUAACAAUCGAAACCGCAUGGUUUUGAUUUGAA